CGGGACACGUGGUAUCCUGUCUGAAUAUGGGGGGACCAUCCUCCAAGGCUAAAUACUCCUGACUGACCGAUAGUGAACCAGUACCGUGAGGGAAAGGCGAAAAGAACCCCGGCGAGGGGAGUGAAAAAGAACCUGAAACCGUGUACGUACAAGCAGUGGGAGCACAGAGCAAUCUGUGUGACUGCGUACCUUUUGUAUAAUGGGUCAGCGACUUAUAUUCUGUAGCAAGGUUAACCGAAUAGGGGAGCCGAAGGGAAACCGAGUCUUAACCGGGCGUUAAGUUGCAGGGUAUAGACCCGAAACCCGGUGAUCUAGCCAUGGGCAGGUUGAAGGUUGGGUAACACUAACUGGAGGACCGAACCGACUAAUGUUGAAAAAUUAGCGGAUGACUUGUGGCUGGGGGUGAAAGGCCAAUCAAACCGGGAGAUAGCUGGUUCUCCCCGAAAGCUAUUUAGGUAGCGCCUCGUGAAUUCAUCUCCGGGGGUAGAGCACUGUUUCGGCAAGGGGGUCAUCCCGACUUACCAACCCGAUGCAAACUGCGAAUACCGGAGAAUGUUAUCACGGGAGACACACGGCGGGUGCUAACGUCCGUCGUGAAGAGGGAAACAACCCAGACCGCCAGCUAAGGUCCCAAAGUCAUGGUUAAGUGGGAAACGAUGUGGGAAGGCCCAGACAGCCAGGAUGUUGGCUUAGAAGCAGCCAUCAUUUAAAGAAAGCGUAAUAGCUCACUGGUCGAGUCGGCCUGCGCGGAAGAUGUAACGGGGCUAAACCAUGCACCGAAGCUGCGGCAGCGACACUGUGUGUUGUUGGGUAGGGGAGCGUUCUGUAAGCCUGUGAAGGUGUGCUGUGAGGCAUGCUGGAGGUAUCAGAAGUGCGAAUGCUGACAUAAGUAACGAUAAAGCGGGUGAAAAGCCCGCUCGCCGGAAGACCAAGGGUUCCUGUCCAACGUUAAUCGGGGCAGGGUGAGUCGACCCCUAAGGCGAGGCCGAAAGGCGUAGUCGAUGGGAAACAGGUUAAUAUUCCUGUACUUGGUGUUACUGCGAAGGGGGGACGGAGAAGGCUAUGUUGGCCGGGCGACGGUUGUCCCGGUUUAAGCGUGUAGGCUGGUUUUCCAGGCAAAUCCGGAAAAUCAAGGCUGAGGCGUG
rnacentral:rRNA from 2 species